rnacentral:rRNA from 1 species
GUGCCAGCAGCCGCGGUAAUACGUAGGGUCCGAGCGUUGUCCGGAAUCAUUGGGCGUAAAGAGCGUGUAGGCGGCUUGGUAGGUCACGUGUUAAAGCCUGCGGCUCAACCGCAGAAUCGCACGUGAAACCACCUGGCUAGAGUCCGGAAGAGGAGAGCGGAAUUCCUGGUGUAGCGGUGAAAUGCGCAGAUAUCAGGAAGAACACCCGUGGCGAAGGCGGCUCUCUGGGACGGUACUGACGCUGAGACGCGAAAGCGUGGGGAGCGAACAGGAUUAGAAACCCCCGUAGUCC